GAUGAACGCUGGCGGCGUGCCUAAUACAUGCAAGUCGAGCGAACGUCCGAGAAGCUUGCUUUUCUGAUGUUAGCGGCGGACGGGUGAGUAACACGUGGCUAACCUACCUAUAAGACUGGGCUUACUUCGGGAAACCGUAGCUACUACCGGAUAAUCUUUUGACCCGCAUUGUUCAAUAGUGCAGGCCGGUCUUGCUGUCACUUAUAGAUUGAUCCGCGCUGCAUUAGCUAGUUGGUAAGGUAACAGCUUAUCAAGGCAACGAUGCAUAGCCUACCUUAGAGGGUGAUCGGCCACACUGGAAUGGAGCCACGCUCCAGACUCCUACGGGAGGCAGCAGUAGGCAAUCGUCCGCAGCAGUCGAAAGCCUGACGGAGCAACGCCGCGUGAGUGAUGAAGGUCUUCGGAUCGUAAAACUCUGUUAUUAGGGAAGAACAUAUGUGUAAGUAACUGUGCACAUCUUGACGGUACCUAAUCAGAAAGCCACGGCUAACUACGUG
rnacentral:rRNA from 1 species